GUUUCUGUAGUGUAGUGGUUAUCACGUUCGCCUCACACGCGAAAGGUCCCCGGUUCGAACCCGGGCAGAAACA
rfam:Pelecanus crispus contig100685, whole genome shotgun sequence.